rnacentral:tRNA from 1 species
GGAGGGAUGGCCGAGUGGCUUAAGGCGCACGCUUGGAAAGUGUGUAUACGGCAAAACCGUAUCGUGGGUUCGAAUCCCACUCCCUCCGCCA